CUUUACACAUGCAAGUCGAACGGCAGGGGGGGCUUCGGCCUGCCGGCGAGUGGCGAACGGGUGAGUAAUGCAUCGGAGCGUGCCCAGUCAUGGGGGAUAACUACGCGAAAGCGUAGCUAAUACCGCAUACGCCCUGAGGGGGAAAGCGGGGGAUCGCAAGACCUCGCGUGAUUGGAGCGGCCGAUGUCGGAUUAGCUAGUUGGUGGGGUAAAGGCCUACCAAGGCGACGAUCCGUAGCGGGUCUGAGAGGAUGAUCCGCCACACUGGGACUGAGACACGGCCCAGACUCCUACGGGAGGCAGCAGUGGGGAAUUUUGGACAAUGGGGGCAACCCUGAUCCAGCCAUGCCGCGUGAGUGAAGAAGGCCUUCGGGUUGUAAAGCUCUUUCAGACGGAAAGAAAUCGGGUGGGUCAAUACCCUGCCUGGAUGACGGUACUGUCAGAAGAAGCACCGGCUAACUACGUGCCAGCCGCCGCGGUAAUACAAGCCGAAU
rnacentral:rRNA from 1 species